UGCAUGAAUAUUUCGAUUGCAUAAGUACCGUUUGGCGGUUAAAUUUUUGUAGCCGAUAUACCGGGAAGACUACUAAUUGCGUUUUUUCGACACACAUAGCGUAUUCUUUACCUACGUAGAUAGAGUUUAGAGUAAUAUAUUGGAGUCAUAGAAAAUUUGUGAUUACAAAGCUCGCUUCCUGAAGAACUUCCCAUCUGUGUUUGCCCUUUUAUGAGAGAAUGGAAAACUUUAAAUUGUCAACGAUGCAGAUGCUCUCACAAGUCGGCGGCUAUUUCCGACUUAACUAUCCGCACAUUUUGUGUGCGCUCGGGCUGAGCAUUUUACUGACUUAUAUUAUGUGGACGGGACUGGAUACAUGGAUGGCCGAGUGGUUUUUGGCGAAGAUAGGCAUUUGUAUAUCUUCAGUGGAGGUGGAAGAAUGGAAUUAUUACUUCGCUAUAAUAUGCUUUGGGAUCAGCGUGGCUCUAAUGGCAAUGGGACUGAUUGUAAUGCGUCAUUAUCGAAUCUAUCACACAAAUCGCGUCGUCUAUCGAGAUGAGCCAGCCGAGGAUGUUCCGAUAGCUGCAGAGCUGCCUCUGUUGGCAGAGGAGGCCGAAGAGGACGAUGAAGCUGAAGUAGACGUGGACGUGGAAGUAGACGAGGAAGAGGAUCUCGAAGAAGCCCAAGUAUACUACAGUGGCGAGGAAGAUAGCAGCAAGUCCGACUAAAGAGUUAAAUAAAUAUAAUGCCGAUCUAAAACUGGGAGUCCAUAUCGAACAUAUUUUCAAGAAAAUCACGUUCAAUAUCUAUCAAUUCGAAUUAACAAAUACCAUUACUAGACUGCGAACCAUUCCAUUGGUGCCUUGCGCCUUCACAUUUAAAUUAUUUUUAAAACCAUUUAAGAGCAUUUGUAAUUACUGCCGCAACGACAUUUGGAAUCAUUAGUUUUUAACUUUUUUUUUUUAAUCAAACCGCUUCUUGAAACCGUAAGAAGGAGACCACAUUACAUUUGUAAUCAAUCUUCAUUUUUAAACCACCUGCAUUACGGACCCAAGCUCACAUUUGCAAUCCGCUUGCAUCAUAAAAUCAUACCAAUGAGCUGGUUAUUGCAGCACUGUGUCUCAAUUUCUAACAUUUUUGUAGUUAAACCGCAUCUUUAAAACAGCCAGCGAGCCAACAUUACGGACCAAAAGCGUUUUACUUUUGUGUUCGAACUUUAACUUUAAAACAUCAGACCGAACCUGCAAACGAACUGGAUCUUACAAUCCGCAACCUUAAACCAUAACAGCGAGCCCACAUCCAAGCGAUUCAAGCGCAUCCUCUUCAAUUAAUAAACCUUUACAGCGAACCUAUGUAAAUUUCGGAACAAUCACGUCCUACGUGGCUUAUAUUUGUAAUCAUCUCGCAUCUAGAUAUUAAAUAAUCCAAUAGCUUUUGAAAACGAAA